GCCAGAGAAAUAGCGGCUAGGGUGCUCGGCUUGAGGCCGAGAGGUCCUGGGUUCGAUUCCUGCGGUUGGCG